rnacentral:lncRNA from 10 species
CAAACCCCGCCCCCGAGCUUAGCUCCACCCAGAGCGCUGGUCCAGCGAGCUCCGCCCCAGCCAAAGGCGUCUGUGUCAAAAGCAACAUGGCCAUGGCCCUUCCUGCUCCAAACCCUCUCAGGGGUCCCCACUGCAACUGAUGGAAACCAGGCUCCUCACUGCACCCCAUGAGGCCCUGCAGGUAUAGCCCCUGACUACCUGUCUAUCCUUCUCUCCCACGGCCCCAUCUAUGAAUCGUUCAGUUCUCAAAAUAAUGAACUCCUCACCUUUCCCAGACACACCAGGCAUGCCCACAGCAAGAAACGAGCUUCCACCUUUUCCCCUUCCAGGGACAGCCCAUGAAGCUCCUCUGCUCAUCCCUCUUUCCACCCCCAGCUCUACACUGACUGCAGCAGCCCGGCAGGGGGAAGUGGGACCAGAUGGACUGACGGGUGGACGGAUGGGUGGAUGGAUGAAUGGAUAGAUGGACAGAUGCAUGUAUGGAUGCAUAGAUAGAAGGAUGGAUGGGUGGAUGGCCAGAUGAAUAGAUGGAUGGGUGGAUGGAUGGAUGAUGGACGGAGAGAUGUAUGGGUGGAUAGAUGGAUGAGUGGAUGGAUGUAUGAAUGGAUAAAUGGGAACACAUAAAUGGAUGGAUGGAUGGAUGGAUGGAUGGACGGACGGAUGCAUGGAUGGAUGGAUGGAUGGAUGGAUGGAUGGACGGAUAGAUGAGUGGGUGGCCAGAUAAAUAGAUGGAUGGGUGGACAGAUGGAUGAGUGGAAGGAUGGGGGGAGCAGAUGGAUGAAUGGAUGGGCGGACAGAUGGAUGAACGGAAGUGUGGAUGGAUAGAUGGAAGGAUAGAUGGGUGGAUGGCCAGAUGGAUAGACGGGUGGGGGACAGAUGGAUGGAUGGGCAGAUGAACGGUUGAAGCAGCCCGGCCGAAAUGCGGGAGAAAUGGGGGGAAGCCCUGCAGAACGCAUCGGCCCCUUCUUGACCUCGGCGGGCC